UAUGAGUUAUUCCCAUAUUCUAAAAAAUUCCAAAAAUAUAAAUUGACAUUAAAUGUAAUAUAUGAGUUAUUGUCAUAUUUUAAAAGUUUACCAAAAAUAUAAAUUAAAAUUAAAUGCAAUUGUCCAUGUCAUAUUAAGCUAUAAGACAUGUCAUCAAUUUUAGUAGCCAUGUCAUAUUUGUUUUGUGAAAUUGAUUGUAGAAAUGACAUGUAGCAAAAUCACUCGUAAAUAUAAUCUAGAGUCUAGAUAGAUAGAUAGAUAGAUAUAUAGAUAUAUAGAUAGAUAGAUCACUCGCAAGAAACCUAGCAAUAAAUCAAUUGCAUACUUUUAAAUGAAAUCAUCAAAGGUAGAAGAACACUACACAACUAAAUAUAUUUUUGUUUCAAAUUUAGAAACUUUGGUCCAUUCGACUCUUGCAAUGGUGCAGAUUUUUCCUUCAGAGUCUUUUUCAACACGCAAGAGAACGCGGUCUACGUGAAACAAAGGCCACACCUUUACAAGUUCUUAGAGAGGGUGGUAGAAUUGUUUCAUGUCGUUGUCUUCACUGCGAGCCACAUCAUCUAUGCAUCACAACUUCUAGAUAUAUUGGACCCAAAUGGAAAGUUCAUAUCGCAGCGUUUUUUAUCGUGACUCAUGCAUUCUUUCCGAAGGAAUUUACACGAAGAAUUUAACUGUUCUGGGUCUUGAAUUAGCCAAAGUGGCUAUAAUUGACAACUGCCGGCAGGUACUUCAUCUAACGAAGUAUACGAACCUUGACUUUAUUAUACGCUUAUAAGGAAAUGUCGAGUAAGUAUGUUAAAAUCCGUUUUUUACUAGUCAUUUUGUUUUGCUUAAACAACCUUCUUUUGCUUCUGGUUUCUUAUUUCCUUCCUCUCUUAACCUUUUGGUUGUUUGAACCAAAGCCAUGUAAUCUUCAUACUGGAAGCUGUUUCAUAAUCUGUUACCCAAUCCAAAGCUUGUUUAUAUUCAUGUAGAUGAUAGUAAGACUUAUAGCAGACACACUCACAGAUGAUUAUCAAUGUGUAUCUCAAUUUCAGUAAGGUUGUUAAUCAAUUUCUGAGGGUUUUUUCCUCAAAUUUGUGUGGUUUGCGAUUGAUACAAGGUUCAUUAGUAUGUAUGUUGAUCCUUAAUGUUGUCCCGACUGAAAGUCUUGGAGCACUAGUAGAAGAACACAAAAAAGAAGAAAAAACAAUUACAUUGAAAAGUCCAAGACUUGCAGCCAAUAAAUGUUAAUACUGAAAACAGUACAGAUACAAUAAUGUAGAAAAGAUGAAGAGAAACAUAUGUGUGUGGACGUAACUAAGACAACAAAUAGGAAACUUCCGUCAAGUUGUGCUACACUCCAAUCUCCCAAGUUAUAUGCUCUUAACAUUCUUCAGAAGAUCAAUCACCAAUUCCUUCUUUUCAUUCAAAUUAUCUUGCUCCUCUCUCUCUCCCAGUCUCUAUGGCUCUCUCAUUAUCUUCUUCUUCUUCUUCUUCCUCUUCUCGCACUUGUGUGUACGAUGUUUUCCCUAGCUUCAGUGGGGAAGACGUCCGUGUUAAUUUCCUCAGCCACUUUCUAAAGGAGCUUGACCGGAAACUGAUCAUUGCUUUGAAAGACGACGAGAUCGAGAGAAGCCGAUCACUGGAUCCCAAGCUUAAACUAGCCAUUAGAGAUUCGAGGCUAGUUUAUCAGAAUAUGGGUAAUGCAGAAGAUAAAUCAAGGAGACAAAAUAGAUACAAGCAACCAACUAUGCUUUAUUAGAAAUCGCCUAAACAAUUUAUUACAAGACUUGUUUAUCAGCUUUACACAGCCUGUUAACACCCUAACAGCUGCUACUGAAAGAUUCCUAAUCUACCCAAACUUGUCUCUUUCUCGUCAGUAUUUCAGCAACUGCUUCCGCAAGACCCAAGAACACGCCUAAGAGAUUUUCACCCUUCCUCUAUAAUAAUAGCCAGUGUCUUAUGGAAUACAGACGACUCCAUAGUUUUUUUUAUAGUGAUCUCCACGUUCCUGAAACCAUAGUCUCCAAGGAACAUGAAUAUGGACAACUUCCAUAUCAAUAAGUAUACUUUCGUUUUCUUGAAAUGAACUUAUUCUUCAAGGCAUAAACUUGCUCCCCAAGUUUAUUUCUUGCCUUUUUCUCUAUGGUAUAAACUUGCUCCUCAAGUUUAUCCCACGCCAGCUCAGCAUCUUGCAUCCACAUGGUCUCUACCACUCUGCAUGCCUCCUGGUUCACUCUCUGACACACACUGCCUCAGCAACUACGUCAACGACUACGUCAAGACAUAAACCCUCAGUUUAUCCUUCUCCAUCUCAGCAUAUCUUGCAUCCACAUGGUAACCCACCACUCCGCAUGCCUUAUGUAGUAACGACUAAUGCAUCCAGCAUCAGUGACUUCGUCGUCUAGUUAGUCACGAAAGACUAUUGACAUCUACAAGCUCCACUUGCAUCUUCAUCUUGCUGGAUAUCAUUCUUAAAACUGGUAAGACUUUAUCUCCGUUCAUACCUGACAUGUUACUAUUCAUAUGAUCAUCCAACUGAUGAUGGUUUGAUUACUAUAGUUCCUUUCUUGGAGACUUUGGCUGUUGCUGAUGAUGUUCGGCCUAUCAUUGGCAAGAGAUUUGGUAACAAGGAAUGAAAUAUGAUUACUAUUCUUUAUGGUAAAAAGGAGUCUGGUUUGAUUACCAUACUUUCUUCCUUCUCUUUUUCUCAAUCCGAGUGCAGUGAGCUCGUUCAGUGCAGUGAGGAGUAAGUUCUCCUUGCUUGCUCGAUUGUUUAGAACCUUAUGAAAUAGAAGACCUAGUUAUAGGCUUAAAUCCUAUUCUAUUGCUGGUACUUCUCUGCCAAGAUAGAGCCUAGAUCUUGCAGUUUGUUACAAAAUGUACAGUUGGCUAAGCUGAGAUAAUGGAUGUGUGUACAAAUGAGUUAACAGCGUGAAAUCAUUAUGAAGUUAAACACCAGCUGCGUUCAUCUCUUUCUCUCUGAUCUUAUCCUAUACUGUUGAUUAAGCUUGAGAAUCUUGCUUGGACUGGAAUACCCAAACCCUUAGUUUGGAUUGUUUUCAGAUACAAUUACAUAUUAAACCAUUCAAAUGAUGCAGAAGUUGAGCUUGAAUCUUAAGUCUUACUAGAUUUUGACCCAUGCACCCACACGAAUGUUUACUUUAUCUUUUAUAUAAGUAUAUAUUUGUUUUAAGUAGACAGUGUUAUAUUAUUAUUUUAUAGUAAAUAUCUUUUUUAUAAGUAUUAUAUAAUAUUUCAUAUUUUGUUUCAAAAAUAUGUUGCUAUUUAUUUUUCGUGUCACUAUUAUAUAGUAUAUCAUACAUGUGUCAUCAUAUAACUAAUUGUAUUAGUAAUCAUAUAAUUAAUAGUAUGGGGGAUUUGCCAAAUAUGACUCAAAACAUGAUUCUAAAUACAAAACUAUACUCAAACUUGAAUCAAAUGCAAAACUAACCUAAAAGCCUUGUGAAAUUACAGCCAACCCCUUGUGACCAAACAAAAAAACAGAACUCAUUUUUAUAAAUAUAGCCCUGGAAAGUCGUCUGAGUCUUCUUAUAUACUGUAAGUCGUCUAGACGACUUCCACUUCCACGGAAGUCUUUUGGUGUAGUUGAUCUUAAAAAUAAUUUUUAAAUUUUAAAAAAAAUAUUUUGACAAAUGAAAAUUAAAAUCAUGUAAUUAUAAACAAUUUUAAGUAAUAUAAAUUAAGAUAUAAAAAAAUUGAAUAGUUUUCAGCAUAGAUAAGUGAAAGUAGUUAAUCGUGAUAUUCUUUGGUUUAGGGUUUGACAACAUAUGUUGUAGUAUUGUAUGUAUUCUUAGGGUUAGAUUUUGGAAAGCUUAAAUAUUUUUUUGAAAAAUUAAAAUUUUACCUAUAUGUGUUUAUUUCUGUGUAUAGUAAAUAUAUUUUAAGUUUAAUUUGAUUUUAUGAAGUGUUUAGUUAGUUAAUUUAGUUUAGGGAUUAUGUUUAGGGUCUUGACGACUAACAAGUAAGUCGUCUAGCGAUUAUAAAUCUUCUUUGAAAGUCUUCAAACUCACACUAAAAAUAUUUUUGUUUACCGCUAAAAAUAUUUUAGUUUCCCACUAAAAAUAUUGAAAUCUUCUAGGCGACUUACAAGUAAGUCUUCUAUUAGAAGAAUUACUUGAAAGUCUUCUGAAUCGAUAAUAUUUAACCUUAUUGGAAUUCUUGUCAACAUAUAUAAAUAAAAAUUUACACAGUCUCUCUCUUCCUCUCAAAUGGCUGCAACAAAAAUGGUAUGUUCCCCAUUCUAAUACUCUCCAACCUCUCUCUUUGAACUUAUAAACACCAAACUUUAUAUCAAUUUAUGUUUUUGUCUCAUGUCUUUAUUACUAGUUUAUCUUGUUUUACCGGAUUUUCAUCACAUGAUUCUCAUCUUCCAUUAAUUUAAAGGUAGAUCUAUUAAUUUUAGAUAUGUAAUUUUUGUGUGUUCUAUAAAGGUAGAUAUAUCUAAUCUUCCACUCAUUUUUUCUGUUUUAAAACCAUUUGAACGUUUUUGGAUAUGCAGGUUUUUCAGAUUUGGAUUUGGAUAUACAUGUUUUUCAGAUCUGGAAAACUUCUGGGACGACUUACCUGUUAGUCGUUUAAAAUAUAAUGGGCUAGAAGACUUCCAGGACGACUUACCUGAAAGUCUUCUGACGGGGUCUUCUCACAUGUCUCCAUUUCAUAACAGAUCUGAGCGUUUUGAUGUGGAGCAGACUUUGAAAGAUUUAUAAGAAGUCUUCUCGGAAGUCUUCUAAAAUAUAAUGCGCUAGAAGACUUUUCGAAAGUCUAGACUUCUCGGAAGUCUUAUGGAAGACUUCUUGGAAGUCUUCUAGCACAUUAUAUUUAAGAAGAUUUUCGAGAAGACUUCCUAUAAGUCUUCCAAAGUCUUCUAAAAUAUAAUGUGCUAGAAGACUUCUGGAGACUUCCUGGAAGUUUUCUUCCAUAUCAAGUGGAGUCCAAGCUUGUCUUUGUAGAUGAAUGAUCUAUAAUAGUUUUGUUUCUGGUAUGUUUUGUGAUUUGCAUGUGUACUCCUUUAGUUGUGAUUUUUUUUUUUUGUAAAUUUGAAGAGAUAUUAAUAAAAAAAUUGGUUAAAAGGAUAACCAAAUAGAAGAGGGAGAAAUAACUGGAUGGGAAAAGGUAGCGGGAGAAAAGGUUGGAAGAAGUCCAAUAUCACAAAGCCUGAUGUAUGGCCAGGUGACUAUUGCAACACCUUCUAGGUUUGCAGCUUUGAGAAAUACGAAUGAAAAAGGAGAGGAGAUAGAUGAGGAACAAACA